CCGUUAUCCCAAACGGGAGACUGUAAACCUCUUCUGACGCCAAGUCGUUACUGGAAUCUUCCGGAUGUCCUGCGUUCCAGUUUUCGUGACUUUCCCGGCUUUGUCUGCGCAAUUUGUUCCACCAAAGCCAGCAGACAUCACCUGAUCACAUCUAGCCACUUUGGUUACCAGUUUAAAUCCCUGAGUAUGCAGUCUACAAGUACAUACCAGAAUUGAUGAAUAGCUGAACUGACCCGGAGCCUAUCGCUGACUGAAAACGAGACUAUUUUUCAGUAAAUACUUCACUCCACAAG